rnacentral:rRNA from 1 species
UACAGAGGGUGCGAGCGUUGUUCGGAAUUAUUGGGCGUAAAGGGCGCGUAGGCGGCGCCACAAGUCACUUGUGAAAACUCUGGGCUCAACUCAGAGCCUGCAAGCGAAACUGUGGUGCUGGAGUAUGGGAGAGGUGCAUGGAAUUCCCGGUGUAGCGGUGAAAUGCGUAGAUAUCAGGAGGAACACCGGUGGCGAAGGCGGAUCUCUGGGCCUUACCUGACGCUGAGGAGCGAAAGCAUGGGGAGCAAACAGG